rnacentral:rRNA from 1 species
CCUACGGGAGGCAGCAGUGAGGAAUAUUGGUCAAUGGACGAGAGUCUGAACCAGCCAAGUAGCGUGAAGGAUGACUGUCCUAAGGGUUGUAAACUUCUUUUAUCAGGGAAUAAAAUGUUCCACGUGUGGGCUUUUGUAUGUACCAUAUGAAUAAGGAUCGGCUAACUCCGUGCCAGCAGCCGCGGUAAUACGGAGGAUCCGAGCGUUAUCCGGAUUUAUUGGGUUUAAAGGGAGCGUAGGCGGAUUGUUAAGUCAGUUGGGAAAGUUUGGGGCUCAACCGUAAGAUUGCCGUUGAAACUGGCAGUCUUGAGUAGGGUAGAGGUAGGCGGAAUUCGUGGUGUAGCGGUGAAAUGCUUAGAUAUCGCGAAGAACUCCGAUUGCGAAGGCAGUUCACUGGACUGCAACUGACACUGAGGCACGAAAGUGUGGGUAUCAAACAGGAUUAGAUACCCUUGUAGUC